CGCUGAGCAAAGGAGCCCAGACCUGUGGACGCCAACAUGACUGGCCUCAACUGUGCGAGAACAAUUUUUAACCGGUCAACGCGGUGAGCCUUCGCAGCCGACUGCUGGGGGCCAAGACACCGCGCCUUCGUAGAUUCCUGUCUGUGGCCGUAUCGCCUUUUAUGGACUCGGGUCCAGCCGCCUACUCGGAAAUGCCAGGACACAGCGCCUUCGUGCCUUCCUGUCUGCGGCCGUAUCACAUUUUAUGGACACGGAUAUAAGGCAAAAAAAAAAGAACCACUGGUGGAACUCGGA
rnacentral:lncRNA from 1 species